rnacentral:rRNA from 1 species
UAGGGAAUCUUCCACAAUGGACGCAAGUCUGAUGGAGCAACGCCGCGUGAGUGAAGAAGGGUUUCGGCUCGUAAAGCUCUGUUGUUAAAGAAGAACGUGGGUAAGAGUAACUGUUUACCCAGUGACGGUAUUAACCAGAAAGCCACGGCUAACUACGUGCCAA